GCCAGCGAAGUGUAGUGGUUUGAGCAUUGGACUACAACUCCAGAGACCAGGGUUUGAAUCCUGGCUCGGUCA